rnacentral:misc_RNA from 1 species
UUUCGAAUUAGUUCAUUACAUUCUGGGUGGCUAUCAGAUCCUUAAAAUCAGUUAUUGCUUUUGGUUUUGCCCCCAUUGAGUAUUUUUGUGAUAACUAAGUUUAUAUUGAGAACAUUGUAGGAAGUGAUUGGUCUCUGCAACUUAUUCUUGGCAAUUUUUACACUUAUAUAAAAUAUCUUGAAGAUCAAUCUCAUCAUUUGUUUAGGAUUCUGAAUUGGGGAUUCUAGAUUCAUUUACUCUUAGGGUGGAGGGGUUUAUGAGAGGGAGAGGUUACCCUUCUUUGUGUAACCCAAGACACCAUGGGCCUCCUUUUGUAAAGCAUUUCAUCAAGUGGCUCAUUUAGUUGGAAUAAUAAAAUGCAUCUCUUGAACAUUAGCUAUAGGCAAUACAAACCCGGUAUCUUUGACAUCUCG